AUCCAGCUGACGAGUUCCAAACAGGACGAAACGCGAGUCCUGGAU
rnacentral:hammerhead_ribozyme from 1 species